rnacentral:rRNA from 1 species
GAUUACCUGCAACCGUCUACUCCCGGUGAAGGUGACCUUCGUCUCGGCGCAGGAGCAUACAGGCCCGGUGAGCGUCGGCCCGUCGGUGGACCGAGGAAGACCGUCGCGGAGCGGCGUCGACCGUUCGUCGUGUGUUGGCGUUCGACUCGGGGGGACUGGUUCCAGUGCCCUCGGACCGCGCCGGCGCAGCGGCGGGCGCGCACGGCGUCGCGCCUGGGGUCGGUGGCGAAACGGCCGGCAACCUGUCCGACCCGUCUUGAAACACGGACCAAGGAGUCUAACAUGUGCGCGAGUCGUUGGGCGCUACGAAACCCGAAGGCGCAAUGAAAGUGAAGGCCCGGUCUCCGGCCGGCCUGGGUGGGAUCCCGGCGGUCUCGGCCGUCGGGCGCACCACCGGCCCGUCUCGUUCGUUACGUCGAGGAGGCGGAGCAAGAGCGUACACGUUGGGACCCGAAAGAUGGUGAACUAUGCCCGAGUAGGACGAAGCCAGAGGAAACUCUGGUGGAGGUCCGCAGCGAUUCUGACGUGCAAAUCGAUCGUCAAACUUGGGUAUAGGGGCGAAAGACUAAUCGAACCAUCUAGUAGCUGGUUCCUGUCGAAGUUUCCCUCAGGAUAGCUGGCGCUCGUCGUGAGCAGUUUUAUCCGGUAAAGCGAAUGACUGGAGGCCUUGGG